AAGACUGGAUAGGAGACAAGAAGGCAUCUUCUUGUUUUUAAAAGACCUAGCAAUAGGUAUGCUUAGGGAGGAGCUUGCGUCACAUUAGUUAGUUGGUGGGGUAAAGGCCUACCAAGACUAUGAUGUGUAGCCGGGCUGAGAGGUUGAACGGCCACAUUGGGACUGAGACACGGCCCAAACUCCUACGGGAGGCAGCAGUAGGGAAUUUUCGGCAAUGGAGGAAACUCUGACCGAGCAACGCCGCGUGAACGAUGAAGUAUUUCGGUACGUAAAGUUCUUUUAUUAGGGAAGAAUAAAUGAUGGAAAAAUCAUUCUGACGGUACCUAAUGAAUAAGCCCCGGCUAACUAUGUGCCAGCAGCCGCGGUAAUACAUAGGGGGCAAGCGUUAUCCGGAAUUAUUGGGCGUAAAGGGUGCGUAGGCGGUUAAAUAAGUUUAUGGUCUAAGUGCAAUGCUCAACAUUGUGAUGCUAUAAAAACUGUUUAGCUAGAGUAAGAUAGAGGCAAGUGGAAUUCCAUGUGUAGUGGUAAAAUGCGUAAAUAUAUGGAGGAACACCAGUAGCGAAGGCGGCUUGCUGGGUCUUUACUGACGCUGAGGCACGAAAGCGUGGGGAGCAAACAGGAUUAGAUACCCUGGUAGUCCACGCCGUAAACGAUGAGUACUAAACGUUGGGUAAAACCAGUGUUGAAGUUAACACAUUAAGUACUCCGCCUGAGUAGUACGUACGCAAGUAUGAAACUUAAAGGAAUUGACGGGACUCCGCACAAGCGGUGGAUCAUGUUGUUUAAUUCGAAGGUACCCGAAAAACCUCACCAGGUCUUGACAUGCUUCUGCAAAGCUGUAGAAACACAGUGGAGGUUAUCAGUUGCACAGGUGGUGCAUGGUUGUCGUCAGCUCGUGUCGUGAGAUGUUGGGUUAAGUCCCGCAACGAGCGCAACCCUUAUUGUUAGUUACCAGCACGUAAUGGUGGGGACUUUAGCAAGACUGCCAGUGAUAAAUUGGAGGAAGGUGGGGACGACGUCAAAUCAUCAUGCCCCUUAUGACCUGGGCUACAAACGUGAUACAAUGGCUGUUACAAAGGGUAGCUGAAGCGCAAGUUUUUGGCGAAUCUCAAAAAAACAGUCUCAGUUCGGAUUGAAGUCUGCAACUCGACUUCAUGAAGUUGGAAUCGCUAGUAAUCGCGAAUCAGCAUGUCGCGGUGAAUACGUUCUCGGGGUUUGUACACACCGCCCGUCAAACCACGAAAGUUGGU
rnacentral:rRNA from 1 species